rnacentral:rRNA from 1 species
GACGAACGCUGGCGGUGUGCUUAACACAUGCAAGUCGAACGGUAAGGCCCUUUCGGGGGUACACGAGUGGCGAACGGGUGAGUAACACGUGAGUAACCUGCCCUCAUCUCUGGGAUAACAGUCGGAAACGGUUGCUAAUACUGGAUAUGAGCUUGCAAGGCAUCUUGUGGGUUGGAAAGAUUUUUUUGGUUGGGGAUGGACUCGCGGCCUAUCAGCUUGUUGGUGAGGUAGUGGCUCACCAAGGCUUCGACGGGUAGCCGGCCUGAGAGGGCGACUGGCCACAUUGGGACUGAGAUACGGCCCAAACUCCUACGGGAGGCAGCAGUGGGGAAUAUUGCACAAUGGACGGAAGUCUGAUGCAGCAACGCCGCGUGCGGGAUGACGGCCUUCGGGUUGUAAACCGCUUUCAAUUGUGACGAAGCUUUUUGUGACGGUAGCAGUAGAAGAAGCACCGGCUAACUACGUG